rfam:Schistosoma haematobium scaffold611_22, whole genome shotgun sequence.
AUCCAGCUGACGUGUCGUAAACAGGACGAAAUGCCUGUCCUGGAU